AAUGGUUUGUGGGAAACACAUAAGUACCUGGGUGGAGCAACUUUGGAUCUAAUGAGGGAAACAAUGAGAGGACCAGGUCCUGUAGCAGAAGACAGACAAAAGGUCCUAGUGAUGCACAAGGGAGUCAUUGUUUCUCCACGGUACUACCCCUCCCUGAUCUGGGACCACCUGUUUCAAAGGUUACCUGGCUGCAUUCCUGGAGGGCAGUGUUCCAAGACCAGCGAUAAGAAGUUAACCACAUCCUUGCCUGGCGAGCAACCCAUCAUGACUCGCUGCCUUAGCGUUCAGUUCCUGGGAGUGACCAAAUCUAAUUUUUAUGUGUUAGACCCAUGCCCACGGGGGUGUGUGACCGGGGUGGGGGGACCUCAACCACUCUCUCUUAUUUGCAUAACUGCUUUACAUAUUGCUAUCAUUGGGCUGUAAUGAAUAUGUAUGUAAUUACAGAAAAGGACCCUAGGUGGAGCCUCAGUACUGGCGCCGACAAAAUGAAGAACGAAUUGAAAAUAAAAUAAAUCAGAGUAUUCCAAAAUUUCCAUAAGGAAUCAUAGUGUUUUGCAGAAUAAUCUGUUUGUUGUUGCUGUUCUUCCACCAUAAGGAACAUCUAAAUGUAGAAAUAGAUGCUUUUAAGGAUAACACUCAAAAGAGCGUGUUCAGUCAUAAGGAAUGAAAGCACAUUAAUGCCAGUGUUCUGUCUGACAUGGCAGUGUGUGUGAGUGAGAAGAAUGUCCCUAUCAUCGGCUCACUCUCCUGACCACCUCACCUCCCUAUAGGGUCAUCCCACUAAUUUAUUUAUUUAUGUAUAGUAAAAACAUCUCAUAUCACAAGAGAAAUAAGAAUUAUUUUUAAGACAUUUUGUCUGUAUUAGAUUAUUUACACAGAAACCAUAAGAAGUCAAUAUUACUCUUUUCUAUUUGUGCUUCCUUUUGUUUGUCACUACUGUCAAAAAUUAGGCUUAUUAAAUUUUUUUCCCAGCUUUAUUGAGAUAUAUUUGGUAAAUAAAAAUUGCAUAUGCUCAAGGUGAACAAGAUGAUGAUUUUACAUUUUAGUACUGCUUUCCUCUUCCUCUUUUCCUCCUUUCCUUCCUUCUUUUUAGAUACACUGAUUUUUAAAAAUUAUCUAAUAUUUUAUUAUAUAUAAUAACCACAAUAUAUAUUAUAACCACAUCUGCAUAUGUUGCAUCACCCAACUGGAGAAAUUAAACAUUGCAAACACAAUUUAAGUUCGGUUGGUAACACAUCCUAUCAUAUGAAAGUCCCCUCACCUUCAAGACAUCAUUAAUAUUCAGAAUUUUGUAUUCAUCAUUCACAUGUAUAUAUUUGAAAUCAACCUAUGUAUGUAUCAUUGAUUAAGACACAGUAUAUUGAAUGCUUCUAAAUUUAUAUUGUUGGUUACAGACUGCUGUCAUUUGGAUAUUGAGAGUCCCCCAAAGGUCCUCGUGUUAUAAAGGCUUGGUCCUCAGGGAGUCCCUUUUGGGGUAUGCUGUGGAUAUUUAGGAGGUGGGGUAAGUAGGAGACCUUUAUGUCAUUUUGUUUGUGCCUUGAAGGGGAUUGUGGGAUCCUGGCUUCUUCCUCUGCUUCUUUUAGUCCCUGGCCAUAGGGUGAGUAGUUUGCUCCUCCACUUGCUCCCCACCAUUACCAUCUGACACCCACACCAUAGAUCUAAAAGCAAUGGGUCCAUGUGACCAUGGACUAGGACUUCAAUGAUUAUGAGCCAAAAGAAACGUUUUCUCUUUACAAGUUAAUUUUCUUGGGUAUUUUGUUAGAGUGAGGGAAAACUGAAUAAUACACAUGCUACAUGUGUCUUCUGCAAUUUGCUCUUUUCUCAGAUUCUGUUUGUAAGAUUUAUCCAUUAUGAUACAAAUAGCUCUAUUUAUUCUUUCUAAAAAUAAAAUUAACUUUUUAUUUCGGAAUGAUUUUAUAUUUACAGAAAAGUUGCAAAAUGCAGAGAGAGUAGAACAUUCUCCCAACUUAUCCCUAUUCCAAUCUAGUGCAGGAUUUCAUAUUACAUUUAGGAUUUAUCUUUUGUUCUUGUGUAUGAAUAUAUUAAAAUUCACUUUUCCAUUGUUAUGUUGAUGAAUAUUU
rnacentral:lncRNA from 1 species